GUGAGUUUCAAUGUGUGAAUUUUGGGAGUAUACAAACAUUCAGACCACAGCACUAGAACGGUGAUGUUUCUUAGGGGGAGAAUGAGAUGAUUUGAGGAACUUUUGUGUGAGGGCAGGAAUAAAGUCUGGAAAUAAUAGUGGAAAUGAAGAUGAUGCUUGUGCUAUUCUCUCACCUCAUGGUGGCUUGGGAGAAAAAGCAGAUCCCAGUUGACAGCCAGUAUUAUGCUGUGUUUUCUCCCUAGAGACCGUCAUUUCCAUUAGCCAGAUCAAUGUGAGGAGUGAAUGUCAUUAUCUGCUGUGCUGUCUGCAAUCCCAGAUGUAUUCACAGAGAAGCCAAUGAAUUGUUGGGGAACGGCAUACUCUGGUGACCAAAGAAUUACCACUGAGACCAUAAGCAGGUAAGUAAACUGAGGCUCAUCACAUUCAGAUGGCUCAAAGCUUCCAGAAACUUGGGACGUGCCUUUGCUGGGGAGUCUCUCCAUUUUGCA
ensembl:lincRNA